GACUGGAGUGAAUAUGAAAAACAUCCUAAGGAUCAUGGUCAAAUGCAUGCUGAUGGAUAUGAAAAAUAUGUUAACAAAAAUGGAAGUGAAAUAUGGGUGAAGACAGAAGAAAAAUUUUCUCAACUACUCCAUGAACCAGAUGACUAAAAAACCAAGAUGAAAAAUGGCAAUAAUCCACAUGUUUGUUGGCUAAGAACCUCAACUAACAAAGAUAAGUUGAUUACCAAUGAUGCAUUAAUUCAGAAUAAUUGAGGUAAAGCCAUUGCAGCCAACUGCACAAAGAUAAGGAAUAACCUAAAUUCAACUACACCAGGCACUACAGUUGAGUCUGCCCAAAAGUGCACCACCAUCAAAGAAAUUCCUAAUCAACUUAAAAUAAGUGUCAAACAGCAAGCAGUGGAUUAUUUAUUAUUCUACAGAACAGCAGUGGAUUAUUUAUUAUUCUACAGAACAGCAAGCAGUGGAUUAUUUUCAAAUUUAUGGGCUCCUCCAUUACAAAAAGUGCAUAUUAAUGGACAUUGUAUGGUCACAUGAAUAUGGACAACAAAACAGUAACAAACCGGAUAAAUUACCUGUGGGAAGCUUAGCAUCAUUCUAAACAGUGCUUUCAGUAAAACUGAAGACCAAACAAAACAGCAGAAAUUGACGAAAGCCUUUUUCUGAAGUGCAAAAAUGAAGUUGGUUGAAAACUAAUCAUGUAUUAAAUAAGCAGACAUCAGUUCCUCAGAAUUUUGCAGAAACGACUCGAGCAAUUUUGGUAGGAUCCCUGCCAACUUUCAAGGUUGACAGGAUAAUAUAUAAAUACUUUCCUUUAUUAACAGAAGUGUUAAUUUUGGAAUGAUUUCCAGAAUUAAUUUAUGCUAUGCCAUAUUAAGAACAAAAACAAUCAGAAUUAAUCUUUUCAAUAACCCCCCUCCAAAUACAGAAGCCAGAAAUUUUAGAAUAUGAAGCUCUGAGCAGACAUUUAUCAGAAUUAAUCUUUUCAAUAACCCCUCCCCCUCUCCAAAUACAGAAGCCAGAAAUUUCAGAAUAUGAAGCUCUGAGCAGACAUUUUCAAAAUUUUACAGUAUACAGUAAAAUGUCUAGUUUUCAAAUGAUAAAUAUUUAAAAAUAUUAAGCACUUUUCCUGUUUUAAAACAGAUAAUAAAAUGCUAAAAACCAAUA